ACAAUAGCCAGCAUAUGGAAGCAACCUAAGUGUCCAUCGGCAGAUGAAUGGAUAAAGAAGAUGUGGCACAUAUAUACAAUGGAAUAUUACUCAGCCAUAAAAAGAAACGAAAUUGAGUUAUUUGUAGUGAGGUGGAUGGACCUAGAGUCUGUCAUACAGAGUGAAGUAAGUCAGAAAAAGAAAAACAAAUACCAUAUGCUAACACAUAUAUAUGGAAUCUAAAAAAAAAACAAAAAAAAAUUGGUUCUGAAGAACCUAGGGGCGGGACGGGAAUAAAGACGCAGAUGUAGUAGAGAAUGGACUUGAGGACACGGGGAGGGGGAAGGGUAAGCUGGGACGAAGUGAGAGAGUGGCAUGGACAUAUAUACACUACCAGAUGUAAAAUAGAUAGCUAGUGGGAAGCAGCUGCAUAGCACAAGGAGAUCAGCUCGGUGCUUUGUGACCACAUAGAGGGGUGGGAUAGGGAGGGUGGGAGGGAGACGCAAGAGGGAGGAGAUAUGGGGAUAUAUGUAUAUGUACAGAUGAUUCACUUUGUUAUAAAGCAGAAACUAACACACCAUUGUAAAGCAAUUAUACUCCAAUAAAGAUGUUAAAAAAUAUAUAUAUGAAUGCAUU